rnacentral:rRNA from 1 species
UGAUUGAGGGACGGGGGCUGCUCCUAGUACGAGAGGACCGGAGUGGACGUACCGCUGGUGUACCUGUUGUUUCGCCAGAAGCAUCGCAGGGUAGCUAUGUACGGAAGA